CUUACAUUUACUUUCCUCAAGAAUAGCAAGUAAGAGAGAAAAGAAUAUGCAGACAUAGAAGUCAAUCGCAAGAAAUCUAAUAACCCAAUUUAUUUGCACUUUGUUGUUGGUAAGCAAAUCAUUUACCCUCUACUUUGCACGUAGAUCUCAGUGCACAAUAACUUUCAUGGCAAUGAAUAAACACAUUAACAGAAUAAACUGCAAAUUGAAGAUAAAUAAAAAGAGUAUCAGAAAUAGUGUGCAUUAAUAUAUGAUUUAAUAGCAGGAAACCAUUUCUCUCCAUGGCUUAUCUUCAGUUUUCUGUAUAAAUUGACCAUACAGGAACAUCAGAAAGUCUGCCCCAGGCCAAAAUUUCCAGAUCAAAGAUGCAGUGCUAUACUCUAGGGGUCCCUGGCUUGCCAAGAACUCUAACAUUCAAAUGGCAAGGAAUAAGCUGUAUUUUUCUGAAAGGUUUACAGCUUGAUGUCUCUUUACAGGAUUAUUCAAAGAUGAGUCAGCCCAUUUAUACAAAAACAGCUAUUGAACUGUCCUACCCACCCAACUAACCAUUCAGAUGCAGACAGCGCAUAGCUGCCAUGCCUCUUGGUUUGGCUGAGACAGCCCUGGUGUCCUGGCCAGUUAAUGAAAAUUCAAACAAAAGUCCUGGUUAGGAGCCACCCUGCCCACACUGCUUGGCCUGGCUCCUCUUGAGGGACUGGGCAGGGCAGGGCAGGGCAAGGGGGAAAAGUGCUUCUGUGAGUGUGAGCUGCUCUCACACAUGUUCAUUCAUUCACAGCCCAGUGGGAUCAGGAUCAGGGCAGCUCAGACUUCUGUCCAGAGGAAAGUGGGGGUCCCUUCCCCAGCUACCAGACACCCAAUGUUUGUGGGUAGCAGCUCCAGGCUCUGCACUGAAACUGCAGCACCAGUGAGCUCCAUCUCCCCUUGGCUUGGCUGUGAGAAGCAGGACCCCAGAGCUCAGAACCUGGAAACCAAAGAGACGGAUGAACCCAAUAUACAUAGGGACACAGCAGAAUGCUGCAAACAUCAGUGAUGACAGCAAGAACAGGAAAAUGUUGGUGUCACUGGGCAUAACCCUAGGUAACUCAGAGGGAUGGAAGACCACGAGUGUCGAUGAAGCCCCUCUGCUCUAGGCCCAGGUGAGCCAGGGCCCCUCCCCCUGAACCUUUGUAACCCUUUCUUUGAACUUUUGUAACCUCCUGUAAUACUGGAAAACAGGAUGAGUAGCAAGCAAGCUGAAACUCCCUAAAAACUGUUAUCUGUGGAAUGCAAGGGCACCACUCAG
rnacentral:lncRNA from 1 species